rnacentral:rRNA from 1 species
AGAGUUUGAUCCUGGCUCAGAUUGAACGCUGGCGGCAUGCCUUACACAUGCAAGUCGAACGGUAACAGCACUUCGGUGGCUGACGAGUGGCGAACGGGUGAGUAAUACAUCGGAACGUGCCCGAGAGUGGGGGAUAACGCAGCGAAAGCUGUGCUAAUACCGCAUACGAUCUACGGAUGAAAGCAGGGGACCGCAAGGCCUUGCGCUCAUGGAGCGGCCGAUGGCAGAUUAGGUAGUUGGUGGGAUAAAAGCUUACCAAGCCGACGAUCUGUAGCUGGUCUGAGAGGACGACCAGCCACACUGGGACUGAGACACGGCCCAGACUCCUACGGGAGGCAGCAGUGGGGAAUUUUGGACAAUGGGCGAAAGCCUGAUCCAGCC